CCCGCCCAGGUGGUAUCUACACCAUGAAGAUAAGCUGAGGCAGGAUGUGGAAGCCCCUUCUUCCUGUCGCUUUAUUCUGCACUGAGAACUGUUUUAAACUUCCCUGUUGCCGUUUUGCUCCUUCCAUCCUUUAUUCCAUAGCAGUCCACGUCCACGUGGAGUGCUACAUCUGGCUCCAGGGGUAAGCUGAACAGAAAGGCUCUGGGCCCACCCUCCACAGUGGUUCUGGAUGGAGUUCAAAGACUAGCACCAGUGACAUUACCUUGGAACCAGGUUUUUGGUCCUGAUGAGAAAGCAUAAAGCACCAUAAGAGGAAGUUGAAGGGGGUAGUAAAAGUGUUGGUGACUGCUAACCCUGAGUCAUGGGAGCCCUAAUUGUCUCCACUCUAGUGCCUGUUAAACAUUUUCAUAACAAAAUUAUUUUAACGUCUUUAAA